rnacentral:rRNA from 1 species
AACGAACGCUGGCGGCAUGCCUAACACAUGCAAGUCGAACGAGACCUUCGGGUCUAGUGGCGCACGGGUGCGUAACGCGUGGGAACCUGCCCUUAGGUUCGGAAUAACUCCCCGAAAGGGGUGCUAAUACCGGAUAAUGUCUUCGGACCAAAGAUUUAUCGCCUUUGGAUGGGCCCGCGUUGGAUUAGCUAGUUGGUAGGGUAAAAGCCUACCAAGGCGACGAUCCAUAGCUGGUCUGAGAGGAUGAUCAGCCACACUGGGACUGAGACACGGCCCAGACUCCUACGGGAGGCAGCAGUGGGGAAUAUUGGGCAAUGGGCGAAAGCCUGAUCCAGCAAUGCCGGGUGAGUGAUGAAGGCCUUAGGGUUGUAAAGCUCUUUUACCCGGGAUGAUAAUGACAGUACCGGGAGAAUAAGCUCCGGCUAACUCCGU